ACUUCAGAGCACAAUUUGCCAGCCAGUCGAGCUCAAGAAGAAUUCCGCACAGCUCGCUCGACUGGCCAUGGCCAACUUCGCCGCCCAGCUGAAGGAGCGGUUCCUCGGCCUCGUAGACCGCGUCACCGGCUGCGGCCGCGGUGCCGCGGCCAAGGAGGAAGGCACCAAGCCGGCGCCGGCCAUGAAGGAGCACGUGGAGAUCCGAUCGAGAGCUCCCAACGUGUCAGGAGGAUCAGGGGCGGGGGUCAAUUAGCACACUGCAUGCAUGCAUGCUGAUGCGGCUGAAGAUGUGUUUGUCGUUGCAGAUUCGUUUGUCUGGUUCUUUCGGUGCACGCCUUGUAAUUUAGCUUGCGGAUUCUUGUUGUUUCCUGUAACUGUAAGUGUGCCGCUUUUGUUGUGCAAUCUCCUCCUGUUAAUUUCUUGGGACGAAAUCUUGUGUAAUCUCGACGUACGCCGACCGUGAGGUUAAUUUGGUGUGCUGUCACGUACGUAUAAGGUUAAUAAGGGUAUUUUUGUGGAGAAGAUAGUGCUUGCAUCAAGGAAUGUCCUCCGUUUUCCGUUUCGUGCAGCUGUGCGGGCACAUAACGCAGUGCGUCAAGGCGGCGAACGACUGUGUAAGCAUCAAGAUUAGCUAUAGCAGAAAGCUUAUGGGAUACACGAUUCAACUACUUUUUUUU